rnacentral:rRNA from 1 species
GAUGAACGCUGGCGGCGUGCCUAAUACAUGCAAGUCGAGCGAAUGGAUUAAGAGCUUGCCCUUAUGAAGUUAGCGGCGGACGGGUGAGUAACACGUGGGUAACCUGCCCAUAAGACUGGGAUAACUCCGGGAAACCGGGGCUAAUACCGGAUAACAUGUUGAACCGCAUGGUUCGAAAUUGAAAGGCGGCUUACGCUGUCACCUAUGGAGGGACCCGCGUCGCAUUAGCUAGUUGGUGAGGUAACGGCUCACCAAGGCAACGAUGCGUAGCCGACCUGGGAGGGUGAUCGGCCACACUGGGACUGAGACACGGCCCAGACUCCUACGGGAGGCAGCAGUAGGGAAUCUUCCGCAAUGGACGAAAGUCUGACGGAGCAACGCCGCGUGAGUGAUGAAGGCUUUCGGGUCGUAAAACUCUGUUGUUAGGGAAGAACAAGUGCUAGUUGAAUAAGCUGGCACCUUGACGGUACCUAACCAGAAAGCCUCGGCUAACUACGUGCCAGCCGCCGCCGUAA